rnacentral:rRNA from 1 species
UACGUAGGGGGCAAGCGUUGUCCGGAUUUAUUGGGCGUAAAGAGCGUGUAGGCGGCUAGGUAGGUCCGUUGUGAAAACUCGAGGCUUAACCUCGAGCUGUCGGCGGAAACCAUCUGGCUAGAGUCCGGAAGAGGAGAAUGGAAUUCCCGGUGUAGCGGUGAAAUGCGCAGAUAUCGGGAAGAACACCCGUGGCGAAGGCGGUUCUCUGGGCCUUACCUGACGCUGAGGAGCGAAAGCGUGGGGAGCGAACAGG